CGGGAUGAAAUCCAAAACCAAAUUGAUAUGGUUACUGUGGAAAUUCAAGAAGAAAAAGCAAGGCUUGCUGCUAUCAAUGAAAUCAAUGCUGUGAUUCGAGAAGGUCAUCCAGCUAACACCAUGACUGCACUCAUGAAACCUGAGGCCCAGCUCCCUCCCGUUCAUCCAUUCGCUGCCAUUAUGUAUCAGAAUGAACUGUUCAACCUUCAGAAAGAGAAUUCUCUGAACUAUUUGAUCCAUGAGGAGCUAUCCACC